UACAGGGGGUGCAAACGUUGCUCGGAAUCAUUGGGCGUAAAGCGCACGUAGGCGGUUUGUUAUGUCGGAUGUGAAAUCCCCAGGCUCAACUUGGGAACUGCGUCCGAUACUGGUGGGCUCGAAUCCGGGAGAGGGAUGUGGAAUUCCAGGUGUAGCGGUGAAAUGCGUGGAUAUCUGGAGGAACACCCGUGGCGAAGGCGGCUUUCUGGGACGGUACUGACGCUGAGACGCGAAAGCGUGGGGAGCGAACAGG
rnacentral:rRNA from 1 species